rnacentral:rRNA from 1 species
AGAGUUUGAUCAUGGCUCAGAACGAACGCUGGCGGCAGGCCUAACACAUGCAAGUCGAGCGCGCCCUUCGGGGUGAGCGGCGGACGGGUUAGUAACGCGUGGGGAUAUACCCGACACUAAGGAAUAGCCUCUGGAAACGGAGAGUAAUACCUUAUACGCCCUUCGGGGGAAAGAUUUAUCGGUGACGGAUUAGCCCGCGUUAGAUUAGAUAGUUGGUGGGGUAAUGGCCUACCAAGUCUACGAUCUAUAGCUGGUUUUAGAGGAUGAUCAGCAACACUGGGACUGAGACACGGCCCAGACUCCUACGGGAGGCAGCAGUGGGGAAUCUUGGACAAUGGGCGCAAGCCUGAUCCAGCCAUGCCGCGUGAGUGAUGAAGGCCUUAGGGUCGUAAAGCUCUUUCGCCAGAGAUGAUAAUGACAGUAUCUGGUAAAGAAACCCCGGCUAACUCCGUGCCAGCAGCCGCGGUAAUACGGAGGGGGUUAGCGUUGUUCGGAAUUACUGGGCGUAAAGCGCGCGUAGGCGGAUUAGUAAGUUAGAGGUGAAAUCCCGGGGCUCAACCCCGGAACUGCCUUUAAUACUGCUAGUCUUGAGUUCGAGAGAGGUGAGUGGAAUUCCGAGUGUAGAGGUGAAAUUCGUAGAUAUUCGGAGGAACACCAGUGGCGAAGGCGGCUCACUGGCUCGAUACUGACGCUGA